rnacentral:misc_RNA from 1 species
UAGAUUUCAAGGGCUUGUCCCUCCUGGAUGCCCGGCGCUCGCGUCGUGGCUCCUUGUACAACAAACACCUGUGAACAACCCGGACGUGGUCCCCUAGGGAUCGCGUCCACCUUUUACACCUGUCGUCCUAUGUCUAGAAAGUAUAAACAAAAGAGUA